GACCCAUCUCCCUCUAAAGAUGCACAGCAGAAAAAGAUCUAUCUAAAAUGGUUACUAGCGCCACUCCUGGUGGGUGAAUGACACUCUUAGAAUGAGUGCAGGACUGGAGAAUAACUGUUCAAAAAACUAGAAGCUUUCAAGAGCGUUGGACUUUGAUAUUGACACUGUUAACAAUAGAAGGUGAAACUGCAUGGAGGGAACUGUUACUUUCAUUGUACAUUUUUCCUGAGAUUUAAGAUUUAAAAACCUCACUUAGCUCCUGAGUGCUCAUCCUUUACGCGACAGCUACAUCAUCCUCCCCAAGGCUCAGAGAAUAUACUGGGAGAUGUAGUAGAAAUAAGAGCCAGUGGAUGGAAAGGAGAACUGUGACAAGUCGUCAUCUGCACAUGGCAUGAUAGUUGUACCUCUGAACCUACAGAGUAGUUGAUCACUUCCAAAAACCUGGACCCACCAAUAUUCUGUCAUGGAUGAGGAGGUUCUAAGAAGCACCCACCCCUUCCCCAUGAGCUAUUGUCAGUUAAUAGUUGUUGGGGGAGGACCAAUAAUAUUCCUAAGUGGUGAAGACAUUGGUAGAUUGUCCUUCUUCAAAUAAAUAACCCUCAUCCAUGCUCAUGGAGGCAAUGGGUCACAAAUAAACAAACAAAAGACCAGAAAUUAUUAUUGGGAUUCCUGGAAAGAAGCAGGGGUUCAGUGGGAGGAAGUAUAUGAUAAGAAAGAAGAUAACGGGAAGGAAUAUUAUAAAAGUAUGAUCUAUAUGUAUGUGUGUGUGAA